rnacentral:misc_RNA from 1 species
GGCAAUUCUGAGUUCAUAAGAUGGCAUACCAAGUCUGUUUUACAGUAAACUUUCGAAUCCUGUCCAAAUAAUCAAGUUACACAUUUUCGAAUUUAUUCAAAACAGUAACACAACACUCCGACCAAAAAUGUUUGAGAAAGAAAAAAAUUCAAAGAUGAACAGUGUCAACAAUAGCCUCAAGUGUCUUCUUCUCCAACUCUUUCUCAUCAAUCCACAUGGAACUUUGCCGUCGUAGAAGAUCAUUUUUCUCUUUCUUCUUCUUUGAGAAGUUCUCUUCCCUCAUCCUCCAAUAUUCAAGCUUUUCCUGUCUUUCUUUAAGCAGAGUUUUGCGGAACUCCUCUUCAGCAGCCUCUCUUUCCUUCGCCUUCGCUUUCUUCUCAGCAGCUUUAGCAACCUUGCGUUCCUCAUUAGCAAUCCUCUGAGCCUCCUUUUUAGCUUCAUCUUUUCUCAUCUUCUCAAUCCUCUGAAGCUCCAUUUCUUGUAUGUACUCUUUCCUCACCUCCUUCACUUUCUUCGCAUAUUCACGGCGCAAACGGGCUAGUUUAGCCUCCGCCUCCUUAGGAUCCUUAGGUGCUGUCCAUGAAUUCAGGUAGUCGCUCGGUGGACGGAACUCAUGGUUCCUCUGAUGGUCAUUGUGAUGCGAUUGUCCCGCGGUAGAUGUGGAAUCGGCGGUGGUGGAAAUUGAUCGGAGAAUGGGUUUUAGGGUUUGGGCCGCCGGGGUUUUACGGAGGAGCUGCCGGUAAAGCAACAUUUU